rnacentral:rRNA from 1 species
GACGAACGCUGGCGGCGUGCUUAACACAUGCAAGUCGAACAGUGGCGGACGGGUGAGUAAUGCUUGGGCAUCUAGCUUAUGGAGGGGGAUAACUACGGGAAACUGUAGCUAAUACCGCGUACCAUAGGAUGAGCCCACGUGGGAUUAGGUAGUUGGGGGGGUAAAGGCUCACCAAGCCGACGAUCUCUAGCUGGUCUGAGAGGAUGACCGGCCACACUGGGACUGAGACACGGCCCAGACUCCUACGGGAGGCAGCAGUGGGGAAUAUUGCGCAAUGGGGGCAAGCUGACGGAGCCAUGCCGCGUGAAUGAAGAAGGCCUUCGGGUUGUAAAGUUCUUUCGGUAGCGAGGCGUUAUCUACAGAAGAAGCACCGGCUAACUCCGUGCCAGCAGCCGCGGUAAUUC